CAAUCCGCAAUCUUAUAUGGCAUGCUACGGUUCUGGCCCAGCUCUAGUGUGUGCUAUAAAUGUAUUUAUAAAUAUAAUAAAAUACAGAGUUUGGACCAUUAUUUGAAGUCUUGUUUAAUUCUAUGUUAUUGCAAUAAAAACACUGUACAGUGUGUUGCCCAAGAUCAACACUUUCUAACGAACUUUGGCAAAUGAUACACGAUACAAGCAAGUAAAUUGUCCUAUGUCCAAGCCGCAAGGACAUGUAGUCCAGCUUAUCUUUAUCAUCGUGCUCUUGUAAACGCUGUCAGUAAGGUAAUUUAUACAUAUUCUAUGCUUUUAAUUUGAAUGGUCUCUGGUUAUAUCAGAAGAUGUAGCAAAGCCGGUGAUAGGAAGGCUCCCUGUUCUUUCUUUCUCAACAAGUAAAUAAACACUACUUAUGGUAAAUAGUUUGUUGUUUAGGUGUAUCGGCCUUGUAACUAGAUACUCUAGCGGCUCCCCUGCCUUGAAUUUUAACGCUUCGUGUGUGGGUUAGGGCUAGGCCCGAAGAACAUUAAACAGAUAACAUAAAUAUAAAAAUAAAUAUGAAAAUAAAUAUAAGGCUGAAUACUGUCCUUUUAUAUUUAUGACUGAGAACUUAGGGUUACGCUCCUGACAGUUCUUGUAUGUCAACAGAAUAUACCACUUCAAACAAAUUCGGACGACUGCGGUGUUUUUGUUUGCCAAAUUGCUAGAUGUCUAGGGCUAUACAGCGCCAUCGAUUUUGAGCAGAGAGAUGUGCCUAUCUUGAGGCAACGGAUGGUUUUGGAGAUCGAGGCAGGGCGUCUGUUUGACCGAGACCACUGUUUCAUGUCCUAGGACAAGACAGGCAACCUGUACGCUUGGCUGUCUGUUAGACUUGUGGAAGAAAACCUUUUACGACUCCAAUCAAUCAACUCCUGCAGAUGUUUAUAUCAUAACAUAUCGUGCAAAAUCGUCCUUCAGGAAAUCCAAUAUCUUUUCAGAACAAUAAAUGGGACAAACAUAAUCAAAGUGAUACCGCUUUUCUUUUCCAUAGUGUAUCACGCACAAACGAAACAAUCCUGUGUAGAGUCAAUUAUAAAUGUAAAUAAAAUUAUUUCAAAUAAAUUUAUUCAUUGUGUAAUAUUUCAACCAAAUAUGUAAUAUUUACAAAUUUCAACCACAAACCAUUUGCAUAAUACCCUUGGUAUAAGAAAAUGAGAAAGUACAACCUCCUUAUAGACAAUUCUUAUUGAUGUAUUACACACGAGAUUGGAAUAGUUAUGGAGGCUGGUGUCACUCGUAUAUUUCAAUAAAUUCAUGCAUUUAA